UACGGAGGGGGCGAGCGUUAUCCGGAAUGAUUGGGCGUAAAGCGUCCGCAGGUGGCUAUGUAAGUCUGCUGUUAAAGAGUGAGGCUCAACCUCAUAAGAGCAGUGGAAACUACAUGGCUAGAGUGCGUUCGGGGCAGAGGGAAUUCCUGGUGUAGCGGUGAAAUGCGUAGAUAUCAGGAAGAACACCGGUGGCGAAAGCGCUCUGCUAGGCCGCAACUGACACUGAGGGACGAAAGCUAGGGGAGCGAAUGGG
rnacentral:rRNA from 1 species